AAAAAAAUCCACCCCUCUCUCGAAUACAAUAGCAGCAUUUCAAAACAAUGUGAACUCGUAUUAAUUUACUCUGAAUGCUCCUGAUUCAGUGUGGGCUGUCCAGUCCAGCCCUCAACCUCAAAGACAGCCCAACGGAUGCUCCUCUGUUCCCCACAGAGAAGCAAAAGCAUCUCUGGGAAGCCUAGUGCCUCUCUGUAGAUCUGCCUCUCCUUGGUCUCUCAACAUUUCUGCCUCUUUGUUUCCCACUGCAGGGCUUGCUGCAAACUGUUUUCAACUCUCCUCAUUCAAUCCAGCAGCCAGAGACCUAUGAAGCUCUGUCAUUUCAUGAGAUUCAGUCACACAUACCUGAAGCCAUAUAUACCUCUCAAACCGGGGCAAUGAUUGGCUGGUGUAAUAUCUCUUGUUCAGCUAUCAACGCUUAUAUGAACUACUAUAUGGGUAAGGUUUAAAAACAGAGCAAAUCACAUUAUCCAGGAAUGCUACAAAUCUGGAAUCCAGUCAACUCCACCUUUUCAUCUGACUGCUCUAUUAUAAAGGAAAACAUUUUACAUAUAGCAUACUGUAUAUGUAGCAUGUCUUUGUUUAACAUUUUAAUUUGUAAAUGCUAAUUAGGCAGUUGCUCUCCACAAUUAUAUUAUUACACACCUAAUCAUUCUCGAAUAUAAGUAGAUGAAUACUAAAUACAGUAAAAAGCCACUUUGUAUUUCCCAAUACCUCGGCACUGUUCUUCAUUUUGCAAAUGAGUCUUUCCGGACAAAAUAAUAAUAAUAAUAAAAAAACUCUUUGUA